CUCUGGUGGCACAGCUAGCACUGCGCCUUAGACCACUGCGCCACCCGGGAGGCCCUAAUGUUUUUCAAGGUUAAACAAAGUUGGUUGAGUUCAUUCCUUGCUGGGUGUAUAGGUCUAAGGCUGUGCCACCAGAGAUUCUGGGUUCGACUCCAGGCUCUGUCUCAGUGGUCUAAGGCUGUGCCACCAGAGAUUCUGGGUUCGAGUCCAGGCUCUGUCUCAGCCGGCCGCGACCGGGUGGACACUACAUCAGAUGGUGAACUCUGCUACUCCGUUGUCAUGGUCUACAUAAGUACAUUUUAAUAAACAUCUACUCUGGUUACACUUGAGCGAACAGGGAUAUAUCCACGAGGGAUGGUAUAGAAGUUGAUAUCCAGAAAGCUCUGCCACACAGAUUGUUUUUAUUAAACUACAUAUCCACUAGGUGACAGUAUGAUGCUGCUUUAAAGGUUCACAAUUCUAGAGACUUCUAACAAUCCUGUAUUGUGUUAUUCAUUUGUUUUUAAUGUUGUUGACCUUUUUAAAAGUUGCCUACACAUCAACAUCUCAAGCACAGAAGUUUUGCCAUCAGUUCUCAGUCCCACUCGGUCGUGUUUCUGGGAAAGAACAGAUGGAUGUACUGAAAAAUGUGUGCUUACACACAUACACACUCUCUUUCUUACUUUCUCUCUCUCUCUCUGGGGCUACCUAACACUGUAAUGUGUCUUACAUAUCGCUCACUAUGUGCUACGAGCCUCGGUGAGAAAGAACCGUUGUCUUUGCCAGGAUAGGAUUUGGGGUGUUUGCUGUGUAACUGUUCCAUGGGAAAGCCCUGUGCUGAAGGAAUGAUGUGCUGUCAGAUUAGAGAAACUAUCUGUUUAUCUGUCUAUCUGGAAUAGAGUCCUUGCUUGUUUAGAGCCCUGCAUCUGUCCUCACAGAUCCCCAGUGGAGUUUAGCCAAAGAUACAAUGGUAAACUGUCUCCAUGAUGCCGGAUGUGUUGAGUCCCAUCCAUGUGUACAAUACUGGGAGAAAGUCUGUCUUGCUGAGACACUGCAUGGCCAUUAAGGCUGGCUUGGACCACUCCUCUGGAAGUAAAAACCUAAAGCACAGAUGUGAUCUAUAGAGGAUGGCCUCACAGUUAAAGACAUGGGAACACUGCGCGUGUGUGGCCCCUUGGAUAAAGACAUGGGGACAGAGACUGAUUCAGUUUGGAAGUGUCGGUAGUAAGGGAUAAACGAUACCUUUUCAAGCCUCUGAUGUCUUGACGUUUAUGGAAGUACUGUCUAGAAAGACCCCUUGUGACACAUUGUAUUGAUGUGUUAAUCCUCACGAUAUAACAUGGCUGAAAUUGUAUGAUCUAUAAUAAUAAUUCAUUUAAUUUGUAAAGUGCUUUUCUCACACCAAAGGUGCUUAAAAAUUAUUAAAAACAAUCCAAAAUAACAACAUAGAACACACACAGAAUUAUCAGAAUUCCUUUUCUGACCAGCAAGGUCUUGAUAAUGUAUAUAGACUGUAAACUAGACCAUAAAGCAUCUGCUAUAAAACACAUUGAUGGAUUUAUCUAUUGUUAUAGAAGUCAUAGGCUACUUUGGAAAAGUCACCUAAAUAAUUACCCUGGCAUCCAUCUACCCCCUCUAGGCGCUCAAUGUAGAUUCCGGGAAACAAUUGAAUGCAGAAACCAAACAGAGCCAAAAACUAAUUUACGCAACAGUGUCUUUAUUUGCGCACAUUAAGCAUGGGUGAUAAUGUGUUUUUCUACCGGAAUAUUUCGGUUCAUAAAGUAAACUCGAGUUUGGAGUACUACAAGAGCGCCUCUCUGUCUCGCGAUUAAAGUGCAGUCGGCUCUGCUUCCAGUUAGUAAAGGCGUCUACAG
rnacentral:lncRNA from 1 species